rnacentral:rRNA from 1 species
UAGGGAAUCUUCGGCAAUGGGGGCAACCCUGACCGAGCAACGCCGCGUGAGUGAAGAAGGUUUUCGGAUCGUAAAGCUCUGUUGUAAGAGAAGAACGUGUGUGAGAGUGGAAAGUUCACACAGUGACGGUAACUUACCAGAAAGGGACGGCUAACUACGUGCCAGCAGCCGCGGUAAUACGUAGGUCCCGAGCGUUGUCCGGAUUUAUUGGGCGUAAAGCGAGCGCAGGCGGGUUAAUAAGUCUGAAGUUAAAGGCAGUGGCUUAACCAUUGUUCGCUUUGGAAACUGUUACACUUGAGUGCAGAAGGGGAGAGUGGAAUUCCAUGUGUAGCGGUGAAAUGCGUAGAUAUAUGGAGGAACACCGGUGGCGAAAGCGGCUCUCUGGUCUGUAACUGACGCUGAGGCUCGAAAGCGUGGGGAGCAAACAGG